rnacentral:rRNA from 1 species
CGGACGGGUGAGUAACGCGUGGGUAACCUGCCUCACACUGGGGGAUAACAGUUAGAAAUAGCUGCUAAUACCGCAUAAGCGCACAGUUCCGCAUGGAACAGUGUGAAAAACUCCGGCGGUGUGAGAUGGACCCGCGUCUGAUUAGCCAGUUGGCGGGGUAACGGCCCACCAAAGCGACGGUCAGUAGCCGGCCUGAGAGGGUGAACGGCCACACUGGGACUGAGACACGGCCCAA